CAACCAUCAAGCCCCUGCGCUUGUGUUGGAGCCCUGCGGCUGCCGCAGGCUCCCAAACCCAGUGGCGGGCUCGUCGUCGUACCGAGUGCAGUAAACUUACCACGCUCAGGGCACACGACGGGUGACCGGCCGUAAAACCCCCCACUUCUCAAA
rnacentral:misc_RNA from 1 species